CACCAACUACACAAACCCUAAAAAUAGCAAAUUUUUAAAUCUUUAACUAGAAAUAGCACAAACCCACAAACAAAAACCAAUCCAAGACUAAAAAUUCCCAUUAAACAACAACCAUUUACUUCAUCACUCACUAAACAGAAAAAUGUUCAAAAUCCAAUCUUUACUUGUUUUUUAUAACCUUGAGGAACAUAGAACACUCUUUCUCCACGCUUGAGAACAUUCACAACUGGACCUACUCCUGCCUUCUCUAUAUACAAAUCAUCGCCUCUAUAACCUAGAACCAAAAAGGAAAAGUCAAUUUUCUUAGGAAACAAAAAGAAUAAAAAAAUUUAAGUCAUUUCACACUUCAUUGUUCCCAUACUCCUCCUCCUCAUAUUCCUCUAUUCAUAGCCAUCAUUUUUCAAAAGCCAACAAGCAACAGAAGUCAACAAAAACUUGAAGAAUCGUGCUUGAAAAAUAGAGACUUGGCAGAGAUGACAAAUGCGAGACAACGGGAGAGAUAGAAGGGGGUGGGCUAUGAAUGGGGCUAUAGAGGAGAUCGAGAAAGAAGGGUGGAAAGGGAGAAGCGGGUUUGCGGUUGUGAGAGUGAGUUUUAAGGUUUAAGUCUUUUGAAGACAUUUUUCUAUUUAUUUGUUGCAUUUGAUAUUGUGAUGAAUUUUAAAAAUUAUUUCGCGGAAAGAAUAGAUUUUUAACAUUUUUUUUAAAUAGUAAAAAGUUUGUUUAAGAUGUUGCCAUAUAUUAUGAUCAUUAAAAAAUCUAACUAGUCAACAAAGAUUCUAUAAUAUAGGACUAAUAAAGAAAAUAUAUUAUCUCCCUUUAAACAUCCUACCUGAUGUAAGUUACAUUACUAAUUUUGUCUUAAAUUACUAAGAGCUUGCUUUGUUUUGUUUUUUAUGAUCUACUUAUAAUAUUCUUGUCUCUGGCGCUAGUGAAUAUUCGACUACGGUACUUUCAACUUUGACGUUGGUAAAUAUUACGUGGCAAAAAAAAACAUAUGGUAUUCUUGACUCUGACGCCAAUGAAUAAACCAAUAAAAUGAAUUUAAAACAAAGCAUACAUAUUUUUUUUAUUUUGUUUUUUUGAGUUGGGUCUAACUCAGCCCGUAUGGCCUUGCGGGGUCACUGGUUUGGCAAGCACGCGCGAUGCGUGCAGUACAAUGAUGUGCUAAUUAUAAUUCACAACAACAAUAACAAGUGAAUUAUAUUGCAAAAUGGGAAGAGAAGAAAAGGGACUUUGCUAGUUCAGGAGACAAAGACGUGAUGGAGGACUGGCCAAAGCUACUUUCUUCCCCUCUACCUCUACUCUUUGUGCGCUUCUCCUCUGGUCUUGCUUUUCUUUGCUUGGUUUCUUUUUGCUUCUCUUGUUCUCCCUAUCUCCCUUAGUGUCAUGCUUGGUAUUCUCGUGUUGCUCGUCUUGUUCUCUUGUUUUCUUCCUUUCCCUUUAAUGUUUGUGUUGUUUGUUCGUUUGUGUUUUUUUUUUCUUAUGUUGCUCUAUGUUGGCUUGAGCUUGAUCUCGGUUACUGGAGAUUUGAAGGAGAUUCUACAAUCCCUUUCCUUUGUUUCACUCUACCUAUAUUUUUUUCUCUCUUAUUCGUCCUUCCUAUAUUUACUUGUUCGUCCCCUUCUCUCUCUAGUGGUUUUUUCCUUGUCCUCUCCUACCCUGGUUUUUCUCUUCUUCUAUUCAUUUCCUUCUUGUAUUUGCUCAUUCAUCCCCUACUCUCUCUACUGGUUGUGCUAUAAUAGUGCCAAGCAUUUGUUGUACCAAGUGUUAUACAAAACAAAUCUAGAUUAACAAUUUAACAAGCAAGGUAUUGAGAAUUAGUAAGAUAAAAAGAUAAGACAUGUUAAUAUUAAACAUUAAGGUCCAUGUUGAGUUUACACUAUACUUAUUCUUACACCAUUAGUGUAAUAUUUUCACCUUGACAUAAUAAACUUAGCUAAACAUAAUGAAAAAGAGAAACAUAAAUAAGAUACAAGUUAACUAAGUAAAGGAAAGGAAAUGAAAAGCAUAAACAAGAUAUUAAUGAAAGCAAAACUUAAGAAUUACAAAAAAAAUAUAAAGAGAGAGAGCAAGAGCAAGUUCUUGAUCUGAACAACCAAGCCUAAAUGCAUGGCAAAUGCCUCCCUUUAUAGGCUAAAAUUUGGAACUAUUGAUUUGAUGACUAAUUAUUGAGUGGGUGGCCAACUCUUCUUGUCUGAAUAAAACGUCAUUGCUAGCAUCAGAACUGGAACUACCUGUACUCAUGAAGUUAUAGGAAAUUGUCUUAUCUUUCUAAGAAAAAAAAUGAGGUUAUUUGGACUUCUAGAACUCGAGAUAUGGGCUAAACACUGAACAGUGUCUGAGUUGCAGGACAGAUUCAGACUUCGUUGUUGCUAUAAUUUGGACUUGAAAACAGCCUUUUUAAAUCUUGGACUCCACAUGAAAGUUGUAGGCCUAUGUCUUACCGAAUCUGUCGAAACAAUUGAGGACAUUUGGACAUCUAGAACUUGAGAUAUGACCCAAUUAUCGAAUAGUGUUCAGUUUGGACUGCACUAACAUCUCUUUUCUAAGUUUGGCCCUCUCUUUGUCCUUUCAUAUUCAAUACUUAAACUCAUCAAUAAUUCUUUUAUUUAUGUGAUAGGCCUGCAUUUAAGAUGAAUAUUUACCAUAAAUUAAAUUUAUCUUAUGUUAUUAUAAAAACAUGCUUUAGUUAAGGACUUAAUGAUACUUCAAGUGCAAAAUGAUGAUAUAAAACCUUGAUAAAAAUAUACUUUUAAGUAUUAAUCACAAAACAAAGCCCUUUCUAACAGAAGAAUUACAACCUUAAGUGUAAAAAUAGUUAUAACAGUUCUAUUAGGAAGUAGAAUCGUGACUCAAUAUAGAUAAAAUUACAGCACAAAUAAUUUAAACCCGCCAUAAAGUUCCCAUCUUUACCCAAAUCCUUAAAAAAACAUAAAAACCCAUCGAAAAAAACACAAACCCACCAUUUUUUAAUCAAUAACUAAUUUUCCAAAGUGGUUUUCUUAUUGUUUUGAACUUUAUAGUAGUGACAAAAGCUCAUGUGAUGUCCCAAUAAUGCAUGGGCCAUUAGUAUCCAUAUAUCAAAUCAAUUUGUACUAAGAGUUAUCAAGUGUGUACCCAUGUAUUUAAGCAAUUUGUACAGGUUGUUGUAUCCUAUUUUUGAGUCCCCACACAAAAAUAAAAAUAAAAAUAAAUACAUAAAUAUAUAGCAGGAAAAAAUUAUAAAAAUAAUAGGAGGUUAAAAAUACAAUGAUUGAAAUUUGGACAUUAUAUACUUGAAUGAUGAGAGCCUUGUUGGAAAAGAAAAUUUCAUUUGAGGAGAAAAGUCCAAGAUUUUAUCGACCCGGGACCCGGCCGACUUAGGCCUGAGACCAGUCUGGGUCUAAGUAAAAACUCGUCUAGGAGUUGGCUUAGCAAACCGGGUCGACCCGGCGGGUCAACCCGGAACCCGGGUGACCUGGGUAAACCCGACUGAGACCUAGCCUUUAUAUAUAUAUAUAUAUAUAUAUAUAGUUUGCAGGUGUCUGCAGCUGCAUUUAAGUCGCUUGGCUGGCGGGAAUGAGUGUAGGUGAACUAAGGCCAUGUUUGUUUCCCGGAAAGUAGUUUCCGGGAAACCAUUUUCUACACUUUCCUAUGUUUGUUUGUCAUUAGAAAAGUUGGUCAACGGAAAACACUUUCCGGUUAACGAAAAACACUUUCUAGUCAACAGAAAAUACUUUUCGGUCAACGAAAAACACUUUCCAGUCAAUUUCAGUCAAAGAAAAAUUUGGCUUGGUUUUCAGGAAAAUAUUUUCCCUUUAGCUGUGUUUGUUUUCCGAAAAAUGGUUUCCAAACUUUCUUGUGUUUGUUUGCCAUUAGAAAAGUUGGUUAAUGGAAAACACUUUCUAAAACCAAGCAAUUUUCCUUUUAGGAAAGUGUUUUCCAGAAAAAUUUUGGGGGAAAACACUUUCUGGAAGUUGUGAAAAAUUUAGAAAUGUCAUUAUUUGCUUAUUAUAUUAAAUUUGAUACUCAAACUUUUGAUUGUUAUAUAUAUUUUGUUUUGAAUAUUUAUUUUUCAAUUUCAUCUCUUAAAAUUUUAUUUUUAUAUUAACUUUGGUCCUUAUUUUUAUAAUUGCUAUUUGUUUUUUUCCUUAUCAUUUUUUUAUUGAAAUUUUUUAUCUAUCAAAUUUGGUCCUCAUUAUUUUGAUUGUUACUUAUUUUAUUUGAAAUAAUUUAUGAAAUGUUGAUUAUUAUUAUUUUAAUUUCUUCAUCUUUCAUUUUUUUAACUUUUUAGAUUUGAUCUCUAUUAUUUUGAUUAUUAUUUAUUUUAUUUGAGAUAAUUUAUGAAAUUAUAUUUUUUUUCAAUUUCAUUUUCAUUCAACUUUUUAAUUUGUAAGAUUUGUUCCUUAUUAUUUUAAUAAACUUGAGAAAAAUAAAAUAUUAAUAAGUUAUUUUCCAGCUCAUUUUACAUGACAUAACCAAACAUUAGAAAAUGUUUUCCAACUUAUUUUCCAUUACACUACCAAACAUCGAAAAAUACUUUUUUAAAAUUCACUUUUUUAAAAUUUACUUUCCUCGAAAUUCACUUUUUAAAAAAAAAAAUCACUUUUCAACAAACAAACGGAACCUAAAAAGCUUACCAUUCCGUCGUCGGUCAAUUAUUCAGCUAGGCAGGGUAUCAACAACACCACAAAGCAAGCCAGCCUCGUACAUAGAACGAACAAACACGGGCUCAGCCAGGGCCUACUGUCUUUCAAAAAGAGAACAGCUCCAUCCCGCUCUGUAUGGGAUGCCGGAUUGGAAUCCGCCUAUUCUCUGUUGGUUGAGAAGUACUCUUCUCUGGUAGGGGAACCAUUUGCAAGGGAAGAGUUAGCAAGAGCAGCAGAGAUGAGAGGAAGAGGCGUCCAUGAAAGAGAAACACAUGCACUGUGGUUGGGCACAAGAAACUAGGGGGGGAGAGAGAGAGAGAGAGACAAAGACCGUGCAGUUUGAAUUUUGUUGUCCAUGAGCUUGUUUUCUUUCUUUUUCAGUGGUCCACUACUCCACUCCAUUGUGACCACCUAGUUUGAAUUUUUUGUGCGCCUAUGGAAAAAAUGCCAAGGGUCUAACUUUGACUGGCUUUUACCUGAUUUUUUUAGUUGGCAGGACUUAUUCUAUCUUACUCUGAUCUGAUCAUUAUAUUGAGUUGAUUACCGGUUUGAAUUUAAAAACUAUGAUUUUUUUGUUGAACUUGUAACUAACUAUCUUCUAAUGUUUGUAGAAAAAAUAAACUCAAUGGUAUUAAUAUUGUGUGGUUUAGUUUUCCGUAUUAAUGUUGUAAUUAUUGUAGGUUACUUUUUGACUUAUCUUAAUUAUAAUGAUGUUUGGUUGCCUUCAAAAUAUGACUUAGUGUGAACUGUUUAAUUGGGUAGGAUAUGCAAGUGUUGAAUUUGCCUUCUCAAAUUCUAUCCUCUGUUUAUGACUUAAUUGGAACUAAUUACAUUUUUCCUUAAAUUGUGAUAUUAAGAGUCAAGGUUCAUGAUGAUUGGUCAUGAUUAUGGAUUGAUUUGUGUUAUGAUUAUAAAUGUCGAUAACUUUGUACCAUUUAAUUAUAAAAGAACCUUGUUAAAAUUUCAAUAACGCGCGCGCGCGCGCACGUGUGUGUGUGUGUGUGUGUGUGUGUGUGUGUGUAUAUACCCUGGAAAUUAGAGGGUGUUACAAGUUAAUGUCAGAGCAAGAAAUUGGAUCAGGACAUUUGAAGAUUAAUCUAUUGGGUCGAGUUUAAUAACAAUAUAUUUCACAUGACCAGAACAUUAUUUGGUUCAAUAUUGAUACAAAACCUAAGUCGUGUGAAAAAAGGUAUUAUCCAUAUUCCAUUAUUUAUUAUGGUUUAAAAUAGUGAAAUUAUGCUUUUUCCCUUCACAAAAAAAUAAAUGACCUGACCUUAAAAGGUAAAUGAAUCUUUUUACGGGGUUCAUUUGUCAUUGUUAAAUGUUUUUAGGGCAACACUAUCCUUUCACAAUUUUUUUUACACGAUUAUAUUUGAAUGCCCUUAAAAGCAAAACAACACUUAACUAUGGUCUAGGAGCUUUUUUGAUAAAUAUUAUUCAGAAGAAUAGUAUAAUGAUGUUUUCGCCCCUCCAUUCAAAUUGACAAGGCUUUUUUGUAUUUUCACAAUGGUUUUUUUAUUAUUAUAAUGUCAUAUGAGGGGUAAUUUGGUAAUUGACAAAAUUUAAAAACAAUGAACUAUUAAAAUGCACGGUGAAAUGACCAAAAUACCUUUAAAAUGAAAAAUUUUAAACCUUGAGCCAGGAAAAUUUUUGGUCUUUUCACAAUAGUUUUUCAUAAUUAUAAAUUCAGCUUAUGAGCAAUUUUAUAUUUGGAUAAGAAAAAAAAGGCGAGCUUGUCGGAGUCACCUGCGCACUUUGGGAUGCUCGAGAGGCGACUCUAAGCAUUCAAAAAUACCCUUCCACCGUGGUUUUCAAAGCAUCAUCAUAUCCUUUUCAUGUUGGUGCAGCAAAUGUCUAUCGAGGUGGUCUGGUUUAUCACCGUUGGGUUUUUUUUUUCCUUCUUUUUUCUCUCUUCCCUUGAAAAUUAUUAUUUGACUCCUUUUGUUAUUGGUGUUUCAAUUUUUAUUAUUUUGAUUUCUAAUUUUUGAUCUUGCCCUUUUGUCGCACGUCUCUCGCGCGACGUCGGCUGGUAAUUUUUCAGUUUGCUUGGCUUGAUUUGAUUCAUUGUAGCUGCCACCUAGUAUUUAAUUGAGGGCUACUAGGAAACCCGGGUAUACUGGUCUUGUCAGAGAUUCACGGGUAAGGGACUGAUUAUGUUUAGGGAAGGUAUUAGCACCCCUAACUCACCUUACCUAAGGUAAGCUACUUCGUGGCUUUGAUGUGUUAAAGAAGUUUUAAAAAUUUUGUCUUUCCAUCGGAUAUUAGAAAUACAACUUACGUAUAAGUUAAUAAUUCUUGACCAUGAGCAAAUCAAAAUAUUAAAUUCUUUUUUAAUCUUUGCGAUUUUAUCAGAAAAACAAAUCCAUAAAAAGCACACAAACACACACAUACACUUUUACUAUAUUUUUCUUUUUCUUUUCUUUUUCUUUUUACAUCUACACUUCAAAAUACAAAUUCAAAAAAACUAAACAAAAAAUACAUUACACAAUUUCAAGUUUACAAAAUAACCCCUAAAAACUCCAGAAAUUGCAGGGAAGACCUUCUACAACCACAGGAACAGUGGCGACGUGUCUCCUCCAUACGCCACCGCCACUAGCAGCGCUUGUGUUCAUGCACCAUCGUAAAAUCCAGACAGCGUGAGGGGGCUGUAAUGGCUUCCUCCCCUCUUCACUUUCCUGCUGCCCGUAAGGACCCCAUCACUUGCAAAUCCAAGAACGCAACAAAUGGCAGUUGAUUUUAAGUUUUCUUUUGGUCCAAAUCCGUUCUCGGGUCUGGUUGGUUGUCCUUUCCUUUUUCUUCAAGAGGCUGAUCUGGCGGCUGAGGAAGGGGACGGCGUUUGUAUGGGAGGAGCUGGAGGAAGACGGCGGACAAAUCUUGGUUUGUGGGCGCCGCUGUGUUCGAGCUGGUCUGGAGGAGGUAGGCAGACCGAUUUGAGAAGAGGACGCUAUUGAUGGGGAAUGAGAUGUUGUGGGCGGCCUCUGUGGUUGUAGUGGAAGGGAACGACUAGGAUGGAGAGUGAGGGUCUGUCUUGUGGCCGGCCGAUUCUCUGUAGGGGGAAGGUUGAGAAAGGAGAGGCUGGGAGAUGGAAGUUUUGACAAUGGGAAAAAUAGGGGGUUCGGUUUAUAGAGAAACUGAGAAAUGAGAGUCUGGUGAGGGGGGGCGACUUUGUUUGGGCUGGUGUUCGGAGAUAUAGCUGAAAGAGGAGAAAAUGGAGGCUCUGAUUUAUGUCCAGCGUGUGGCUGAGGGAAGGAACAACUGUGGAUUGGAGAGUGAGGGAAGAAUGUCGAAGAGAGGGAGAGUUGUGGGAAGAAGAGAAACAGGCAGCCGGAUCGGUGGGGGCCGGCUGUUUCGGUAGUGAAUGGAUUUAGGGUUAGGGUUUUUUUUGUUGUCUUUUCCAAACGUGCAAAAUCUCCCCCCCCCCUUUAUGAAUGGGUUGGAAACUCUUAUUUAUAGCAAAAAAUAUUGCUAGGUUUUCAAAAUUGGUCCCUCAACUUCUUUGUUUGUAAAUUUUGAUUUUUUCUUAUUUUUUUGGAUUUUUCUUAUCAACAUCGCCUCGAAUGAGGAAAAUCGGUGAUUUUAAAAAUAACGCGUUAAAGGUCAAAUGCGUUCUAAAAACCUUUGAAAAUUUAAAUUCUUUUGAGACGAUGCUAAAAAUUCUAAAAAAAAUGCAAAUAUAUUUUAAAAAAUGUAUUUUUUGGAUUUUUUAUGUUUUUUGUUAUUUUUGGAUUUUUUAUGAAAAUUUAUCAAAACAUGGGUCAAAAAUUGGGCAGCAACAGAUGCCCCCUCUUUACAAUGCUUACGAAGCAAAACUCCUCAAUGUUUUGUAUAGUAAGCUUUGUGAAGAAAAACUUGUGUUCCUAACUUGUUGAAUCCACUCAUUUAAGGACCUUCCUUUUUUUUCUUUUUUUUGUUUCUUUCUCUUUUCCUUCUAUUGUCUUCCUCUUCUUUCUUUCUCUUUCUCUCUGUCUUUUUUUUUCCGUUAACCUGAGAUCCCAUCUAGCGAUCUCCUUUAACUAGAACCGAAUAAAAUGUUCUUCAUGAUGGCAGGGUUUGAACUUUCUCUCUUUGCUUUUUUUUUCGUUAACUUGAGAACCCACCUGGCGACCUCCUUUAACCAAAACCAAAGAAUGUGUGUAGCUCGGUCAACCUGAAAUCCCAUCUGACGAUUCCCUUUAACCAAAGCCAUAUGAGAUCUCAUCUGGCGACCUCAAUCAAUUGGAACUAAAAACUAUGUGUAGCUCGGUCAACCUGAAAUCCCAUCUGGUGAUUCCCUUUAACCAAAGCCACCUGAGAUCCCAUCUAGUGACCUUAUUUAACUGGAACUAAAAAAUAUGUGUGACUCGGUCAACCUGAAAUCCCAUCUGGCGAUUCCCUUUAAACAAAGCCACCUGAGAUCCCAUCUGGCGAUCUCAUUCAACUGGAACUAAAAAAUAUAUAUAGCUCAGUCAACCUGAAAUCCCAUCUAGCGAUUCCCUUUAAACAAAGCUACCUGAGAUCCCAUAUGGUGAUCUCAUUAAACCAAAACCAAAAAAUAUACGUAGCUCGGUCAACCUGAAAUCUCAUCUGGCGAUUCCCUAAAACCAAAGCUACUUGAGAUCCCAUCUAGCGACGUCAUUGAACUAAAACAAAAGAAUGUGCAAAAAGUGGUCUCAUUGUAAUGGGUGACCUACCCAGGUGGAAAGAAUGUGAAAAAUGGUCUCAUUAUGAUGGGUGACCUACCCAGAUGGAAAGAAUGUGAAGUGCGGUCUCAUUGUAAUGGGUGACCUACCCAGAUGGAAAAUAUGUGAAAAACGAUCUCAUUAUGAUGGGUGACCUACCCAGAUGGAAAGAAUGGAGAAAAACAAUGUGAAGUGCGGUCUCAUUGUAAUGGGUGACCUACCCAGAGAAAAAGGAAAGAGUGGUCUCAUUGCAUUGGGUGACCUACCCAGGUAAAAAAAAACAUGGAGAAUUGGUCGCGUUGUAAUGGGUGACCUACCCAAAAAAAUAUUGACGAUGGCUCAAAGGUGCACUCAAAAGGAGGUAGGGUUAGAAAAUGCACUAUCUGAGAAGCGAGGGCUCAAAGGCGCAUUCGAAAGGAGGUAGGGUUAGAAAAUGCACUACCUUAGAAGUAAGGGCUCAAAGGCGCACUAAAAAAAGAGGUAGGGUUAGAAAACGCACUACCCAAAAGAUGGUGGCUCAAAGGCACACUCGAAAUGAGGUAGGGUUAGAAAACGCACUACCCAAGAGUUGGUGGCUCAAAGGCACACUCGAAAUGAGGUAGGGUUAGAAAAUGCACUACUUAAUAAGUGAGGGCUCAAAGACGCGCUCAAAAGGAGGUAGGGUUAGAAAACUCACUACCCGAGAAAUGAUGGCUCAAAGGCACGCAAAAAAAAGAAGUGAGGGCUCAAAGGCUCACUCGGAAUAAGGUAGGGUUAUAAAACGCACUACCCAAAAGGUGAUGAUGAAACACCGAUCUGACAAUGCUAAAAACAAUGCAUUAUGAUCAAUAUGCAUGUACACGUACCUAAGAAAUAUAGGUCCUCAUUUCUUCAUGGUGUCUUUCUUUUCUCACAAGUUGGAGUGUUGAUAGUAAACAUCGAUGGUUUUGUCCCUCUUGCUUACUCGAGUCAUAUCAUGUGAUCUUGACCUCUAGGAAAGACUUGAUGUCAUCAUACUUCUUUGUCCUUCACCCUUGAUCUCAAGGUUUGUCAAUUUUGCCCAGUAUUUUUCUUAGGAAGGGAAUCCUGGAGCCAGCCCUAUCAUGCAAUUUUUUUUUAUUGCCUCCUAGCUUGAUCAUACCCCAAGUAUUCAACUCCUAGUUUGGGUAUGAGGCUCUAUGAAGGAAGGUUUGACAAGAGUUGUUUUCAUGCAAAAAUUUUUGGAAUUUCAAAGUCAUUCCAGACACAAAAAUCAUUUUGAAAUCGAUUCAAAGUGAACUCAUUCUGAAGAAAUUCAAGUGGUUCCUAUUAAGAGGUUUUUAGAAGUGAUGAAAAAUUUUUGUUUUGCUUUUGGUGAACAAUGUGAAGUGACGCUUGGUUGGUCAAAAAUGGUUCAAAAUUCAAUUUGAGGGUUACAGAGAACCGAUUUUCAAAGCAUUUAUUUUAUUUGCAUGAAUAAUGAUUUGGUUCGCAUGAGAAAGCACUGCCUACCAAUCCAAAUUGCUUGCCUUUGAUCAGAAAGGGCUUGAUUAGGCACGUAAUGUAGGCUUGAGCUCUUGGUUAUGAAGAAAAUGAUAUUUGUAGGCUCAAAAGGUGUUUAAGGGAUUUCAAGACUAAGGAUCACUUGUGCGUGUUUCUUGACCUUUUGUCAUUUGAAUGUCUUUCGAAAAUUGUCUAUCGUGCCCCCUAGUGAUGGGCUUGGGCUCUUUCUCUUUGCUUUUGUUUUCUUCAUAUGGUUUUGAGCAUCAUCAUAUUAUUAUUUUUUAUGCUCAAAACUUUUGAUCCUUUGAAUUUUUCUUCAUACCCCCUAGAUUUGUUCGGGCACCUUUGAUGAUUGAGAAUUUUCUUUUAUGCCCCCCAGUGUUGCUUCGGCACUUUUAAUCAUUGAGUUUUUUUUUUAUGUCUCUUGCACUUGCCCCCAGUGUGGGGUGUGAUCCUAGCCAAGGUUAUUUUCUUAAGAAAAGCAUUGGGCUCAAAAGGGGACUGCAAAUGAUAUAUUUUAGCCUCGUGAAAAGAUUAUCAAAGAUGGCCUUUCUUCAUUUCAAACUCAUGCAUUUAGGAUUAGUAAGCCUUACUUUCAUGCGAGUAUACAAUGUGAUUUCUCAUUAUUCAUUGAAAUAAAACUCAGCUUUUGGAGUCACUUCAUGGUUUUUUUUUUUUUUAGGUUUUUUCCUAGCCAAGGUUUUUUUUUCCUCAUUAUCCUAGCCAAGGUUAUUUUAUGUUGUCUUUUUCAAAAGUGCAAAAUUGUCCCCUUUUGUGAAUGGGUUGGAAACUCUUAUUUAUAGCAAAAAAUAUUGUUAGAUUUUCAAAAUUGGUCCCUCAACUUCUUUGUUUGUAAAUUUUAAUUUUUUCUUAUUUUUUUGGAUUUUUCUUAUCAACAUUGCCUCGAAUGAGGAAAAUCGAUGAUUUUAAAAAUAACACGUUAAAAGUCGAACGCGUUCUAAAAAUAUUUGAAAAUUUAAAUUCUUUUGAGACGAUGCUAAAAUUUUUUAAAAUGAUGCAAAUAUAUUAAAAAAUGUAUUUUUUGGAUUUUCGAUGUUUUUUGUUAUUUUUGGAUUUUUCUUAAAAUGUUUCAAAACAUGGGUAAAAAAUUGGGUAGCAAUACCCUUUUUUUAGAAAUUUUAUUUUUUUAAUUUCAUUCUUCAAUCUUAAUUUACUAAAUAUUAUAUUCUCCAAUUUGGUUCUUAUUUUUUUAUUUUUUUUUCUUGGCUUUUUUGCAAAACUUUUAUUGGUUUUCAAUUCCAUCCUUCAAUUCAAAUUGAUGGUAUUAUGUUUUUUUAAUUUGAAUCUUUUGUGGAAAUUAUUAUUCUUUUUAGUUUUACUUUUCAAUUAAAAUAUUAUUUUUUUAUGUCAAUUUUGAUUUUCAUUAUAGUGAUUUUUUUUCUUUUACUAAAUUGAUUUUUCCUUUCAAUUUCACCCUUCAAUCAAGUAAAAAAAUUAUUUUGUUUUUCAAUUUUAAUUUUUAUUAUUUUUUAAUUUUUUUGUAUAAUUAAAAUUAAUUUUUUUUAAUUUUAUCAUUUAAUAUUUAAUUGAUUGAGAAUUGAAGUUUAUGAUUUUUUCAAAUUGGAUGUUUUAGGUUUAAUAGCUUAGGUCACGAUUUUGAAAAAUUAACAUGGUUUAUGUUUUUAAAAAAAAAACAAAAAGCUUUAUAAUCCUCUUUAUUUUUUUAUUGAGUUAUUCAAAUCUUAUUAUCUAGUCUAUAGGUUUGGCAGGAUACCCCGAGUUAGUUCGAUCCUAAUUAUCUGGAUUACAUGUUUGACAUGCUAACUUAGGUUAACUAAAACAUUUUAUGUUAUUUUUUACCCCGUUUUGUUCUUUUAUAUGAGUUGUGGAUCCAUUUAUUUAUUUGUUUCAUCUAAUUAAAUUAAAAUCAAUUUAUUUAACCUCAUUAAGUUUAUGAACUGAGCCGCUUAGUUUUCUUUCUCUUUAAAAAAUCUAGCAACAGCUAAAUAUUAUUUUUUGCAUUAAAAAAAAAUCAGCUCUCGCUAUCCAAAAAAAUAUUGAAUCACCGAUUAUAUCAUAAAAACCGUAUUAUGGAGGAAAUAAAUAAUAUCAAUCAUCAAUUAAUUUUAGAAGAGAAGAGGGACAUGAAAAAUUUAAAAGAAAAUAUAACAACAUAAGAAAAAAAAAUUUAAUAUCAUAACAACAAUAAAGAAAAUCCUAACAACAUGAUCCAGAAGCUGUAGAUCUUAAUUACGCGAAAGGAGAUUCGAAUCCAGACCCUGCAAAAGCAGAGGAAUUGUAUGCAAGCAAUCUUAACGUGAUGUAUAGGCAGAUGGUGUCCUGUUGUCUUGCAUAAAGUCACAAUUGUGGAGUUUUCCAGGCCAAGGAAAUCAAGAAGCGCGACGGAGAAAGAAGAUGAAGAUGAAGAUGAAGAAAAUCAAUCAAGUUCGAUGUCCUCGCCAACGAUGAACCUGAUUCACCCGGUGGACCAGACAAGUCCGGCGGUGAUCUUGUUACCCGAUUAGAUUUAUAAUCAUGCUUCGCUUCAAUGUAUUUACCAUUACUAUACUAGGAUAACAUUAUCAGGAGUAGAUUAGUCUUUUAUCCUUGAUGUCUUGAAACAUUUCAUGAGGUUUUUUUUAUUUAAUUAUUUUAUAAUUUUAAAUAGAUAUUUGUGUGUGUAUUAAGUUAGUUAUUCUUUUUUUACUCAUGUUUUUUACCACAUAAUUUUUAUUAGUAGCGUGUUUGUUUAAUUAAAACUAUAGGUAAUUAAAAUAAUUUUUCUCUCUCUUUUUUCUUUUCAGUAUUCUAGAGGCGGCUUGAAAUCCAUGUUCAUGCUUCUUGUUUUUCUUCUCUUCGUUAGUUUCAAUUUUUCUCUUCUAUCGUAAGUUCAAUUAAUGGGCCCUAUCCCAUUGUUUUCUUUAAAGACUUCAGUAGAUUUGUGACGCCUAGUUAAAGGUCGGAAGAAAUAGCUUGCUGUCUCUAUUCAAUAAAAUAAAAUAAUAAUAAUGAAUAAAAACCUCUCUCAUUCUUAUCCGAUGGAAGGAUAAGGCCAAAUGAUAUGGGGUGGAAAAGAAAAGGAGAAGAGAGAACAAUAUAUAUAUAUAUAUAUACAUUUUUUAAAAUGGAGGAGAUAUAUAUAUAUUUCAAAUGCAAAUAUAAAAAUAUGAUGCUAUUAAUAGUCUUUGUGCAGAGAUAAUACAUUACAUUUCAUGGAAUCGUUACUUUAAUUAAAAACCCAGCAACACCAUGAAGGAAAAAAAAUAAAAAUAAAAGCAAGAAGAAGAGGAAUAAGAGUGCAAGACCCCGGAAGGUACCUCCUACCUCGUGAAUGAUCUUACAAGAAAUUGGAAGAUGUCUCCCUUUUUCACACUUGGGUCAUUGAGAAAAGUACGUGGUCCAGCCACCAUGCAAUGUCCACUGACGCCGCGCUUGAUCAUCGUAUGUGGCGGUGGACGAGGAGUGUUUAGAUUCCUCUUUUUCCUUUUACUUUUAAGAGAGAGGAAAAAAAAAAGCCAAAUUUUAUAAAAUUCUCAUUGCAAUGGACAGAUAAAUAGCCAAUUUUCUACACCUCUCGCCUGUACUACAACAAGAUAUACAGUAUAAUUAGUACAAAAACGCAAGGCAGUACUAUGUUAGAGGUUUUUUGUUUCUUUU
rnacentral:lncRNA from 1 species